rnacentral:rRNA from 1 species
CCUGAAAGUCCGUCGGGAAAUCCACUCGCUUAACGAGUGGGCGUCCGGCGGAAACCAGCUAGCUUGGGACCGAGCGACCUGAGGGGUACGUCCGGGGUAGGAGUGAAAUCCCGUAAUCCCGGACGGACCAUCGGUGGCGAAAGCGCCUCAGGAGAGCGGAUCCGACGGUGAGGGACGAAAGCUAGGGUCUCGAACCGGAUUAGAUACCCGGGUAGUCCUAGCCGUAAACGAUGCUCGCUAGGUGUGGCGCUGGCUACGAGCCAGCGCUGUGCCGUAGGGAAGCCGUGAAGCGAGCCGCCUGGGAAGUACGUCCGCAAGGAUGAAACUUAAAGGAAUUGGCGGGGGAGCACUACAACCGGAGGAGCCUGCGGUUUAAUUGGACUCAACGCCGGACAUCUCACCGGCACCGACUGUAGUAAUGACGGUCAGGUUGAUGACCUUGCCACGAGCUACAGAGAGGAGGUGCAUGGCCGCCGUCAGCUCGUACCGUGAGGCGUCCUGUUAAGUCAGGCAACGAGCGAGACCCGUGUCCCUAAUUGCCAGCAACACCGAGAGGUGGUUGGGUACAUUAAGGAGACUGCCGCUGCUAAAGCGGAGGAAGGAACGGGCAACGGUAGGUCAGUAUGCCCCGAAUGUGCCGGGCUACACGCGGGCUACAAUGGCCGGGACAGUGGGAUGCAACACCGAGAGGUGGAGCUAAUCUCCGAAACCCGGUCGUAGUUCGGAUUGCGGGUUGAAACUCACCCGCAUGAAGCUGGAUUCGGUAGUAAUCGCGUCUCAGAAGGAGCGGUGAAUACG